UACACCGUGUCUACAACUCCACAACAGCUUGGGACGGACUACACUGGAUGUGUUGCAUUGCUUGUAAUGACUGGAAAAUUUGUUUGUCCUUCAUGUCAGACACAUCUGUAAGUCAGAAAUAUAUUACUUUACUGUAAGCAUCCACUGUAGAUUGUAUAUUUAAUGUGUUCUAUAUUGUCUUCUUUUGUCGAGUCGCGCUGCGCCGCGCCACUCGUGUCCGAGGAAGACGCUGAAGCAGCGGGCAGCGUCGCGGCAUUUGCCGGGGAUGAACCCGCGAGAGCGGAGAGAUUAAGACCAGCAAGUAAGGCAACUGCAAUGAAGCAUCUAGAAAGACGAAUAUGCCAACCACACUGAGACUGAUGUUCAUGAGAAGACAUUUGUCACUAACAAAGUGGAUGGCGAGCAAAGGUGGUGGCCACAUUUUGGAGCAGCACCUGGGUUUUUCAGAUGGCUGUGUAUUUUUUGGCUGCAUGUCUUUUUCUCCAUAAUGUUUCUGUUGCCUAUAGAUUCUU